rnacentral:rRNA from 1 species
CGAGCGGAUUGAUGGGAGCUUGCUCCCUGAUAUCAGCGGCGGACGCGGUGAGUAACACGUGGGUAACCUGCCUGUAAGACUGGGAUAACUCCGGGAAACCGGGGCUAAUACCGGAUAACUCAUUUCCUCGCAUGAGGAAAUGUUGAAAGGUGGCUUCUAGCUACCACUUACAGAUGGACCCGCGGCGCAUUACCUAGUUGGUGAGGUAACGGCUCACCAAGGCGACAAUGCGUAGCCAACCUGAGAGGGUGAUCGGCCACACUGGGACUGAGACACGGCCCAAACUCCUACGGGAGGCAGCAGUAGGGAAUCUUCCGCAAUGGACGAAAGUCUGACGGAGCAACGCCGCGUGAGUGAUGAAGGUUUUCGGAUCGUAAAGCUCUGUUGUUAGGGAAGAACAAGUGCCGUUCGAAUAGGGCGGCACCUUGACGGUACCUAACCAGAAAGCCACGGCUAACUACGUGCCAGCAGCCGCGUAAUACGUAGGUGCCAAGCGUUGUCCGGGAAUUAUUGGCGUAAGCGCGCGCAGGUGUUUCUUAGGUCUGAUGUGAAAGCCCACGGCUCACCG